AGAUCUUUGCCAGAGGGUACUUGGGAGCUGGGGCUGCUGGAGCCAGAGUGCUGAUCCCUGAAACUCCUUUUUUCUGGUCAGCGCUCCAGGCUCCUGAUCCUGGAAAGAGCCCUAUUAUCCUUGCGAUUUUCCUGCUCAGAAGAUUGUCUCCUGGACUUUUUGUAAUAGCUUUUCCCCUCGGUAUUAAUAUGGGCAAGACAUUUACCCUAUAUUGGGAUCAGUAACUGGUGCAUAAAGUGAGAAGCGAGAUGAAGGAGAUGAUUGCCAAGUCUCCUGCCAGUGACAACAGUCUCUGAAUCUGGGUUCAUCAAAUCAGAGAAUAACAGAGACGGCUGCUGUCUCAGCCAGAGCACUUUUGAAUCUGAAUUUGGAUUACUUACAUGGCAGCCACAUCUCUGCUGACUCAUGGGACCCCAACAUGUUCUUUUCACAUGCAUUGUUAAAGUUGAUCUUCCCCAUCCUGUAACUAUUGCCCUUUUUUUAAAAACAAACAACAACGAAAUGACCCCCCAAAAGACUUAAGUGCGAGAGUUUGGAUUCAUCCCUGUUAUAAGAUAUGACCCUUCCCCCACCCCCAUGUUUGUCAAAAGAUUCUUUCCCGUAUUGAAUCUCAGGCAUUCACUUCCCCUUGAAACGUCUUGUCAUUUUCAGUUUAGUCAGCAGGUCUUCAGUGUCCUCUUCUGAUAGUCUCAAAAGUCCUGGUCGGUAUAGAAACAUACAGCACACCACCACGGACCUCCCUCCAAACUUCCAUUUCCCCGGGUAUAAAGUAGUAAGCACCACCCGGUCAGUGUUUCUCACCAGGGUGUCUUAAAGACCUUGGCAGCCGGGGCUGGGUCUGGAAAGGGGCUGGGUCUGCUUUUGAGAGAAGCAGAGAGAUGUGCCAUUCCCUUGAUCACACUUAGUGAGUGUUGCCUGUGCUAGGGAUGAGGAUAAAUGAUCUGGAACUUGUAGUCUAGUGAGAGGCACACGAAGAACACUGACCACACUCAAUACAGAGGAAUCCUUAGAAGUUAUAUGGGAGCUGUGUGAGUGGGCCACACACCAGAGGUUUCAAGGACUGGCUGAGGUAUAGGGAGGGUCUUGCAGGAUGAGUAAGCUAUCCCCGAGGGAAGCUGAGCAGGACUCCCUUAUAGUCCAGGAGCACAAACAGCCACCAAA